GACGUCGAUAUACGACGUCAUAAACACGGUCAACUUUGGUGUUUAUGACGUCAAUAUUCGACGUCAUAAACACGAUCAACUUUGGUGUUUAUGACGUCGAUAUUCGACGACAUAAACACGAUCAACUUUGGUGUUUAUGACGUCGAUAUACGACGUCAUAAACACGGUCAACUUUGGUGUUUAUGACGUCGAUAUACGACGUCAUAAACACGAUCAACUUUGGUGUUUAUGACGUCGAUAUUCGACGUC